ensembl:rRNA 5S_rRNA 5S ribosomal RNA
GCUUACGGCCAUACCAGCCAAAGAACGCCCGGUCUCGUCUGAUCUCGGAAGCUAAGAAGGCUUGGGCCUGGUUAGUACUUGGAUGGGAGAACUCCUGGGAAUACCAGGUGCUGUAAGCU